rnacentral:rRNA from 1 species
AGAUUGCGUCAGUAGCGGCGAGCGAAAGCGCAAGAGGGCAAACCCAGUGCUUGCACUGGGGGUUGUAGGACUGCAAUGUGCAAGAGCUGAGUUUAGCAGAACAUUCUGGAAAGUAUAACCAUAGAGGGUGAUAGUCCCGUAUGCGAAAAACAAACCUUAGCUAGCAGUAUCCUGAGUAGGGCGGGACACGAGGAAUCCUGUCUGAAUCCGGGUCGACCACGAUCCAACCCUAAAUACUAAUACCAGAUCGAUAGUGCACAAGUACCGUGAGGGAAAGGUGAAAAGAACUGAGGUGAUCAGAGUGAAAUAGAACCUGAAACCAUUUGCUUACAAUCAUUCAGAGCCCUAUGUAGCAAUACAGGGUGAUGGACUGCCUUUUGCAUAAUGAGCCUGCGAGUUGUGGUGUCUGGCAAGGUUAAGCAAACGCGAAGCCGUAGCGAAAGCGAGUCUGAAUAGGGCGCUUAGUCAGAUGCUGCAGACCCGAAACGAAGUGAUCUAUCCAUGAGCAAGUUGAAGCUAGUGUAAGAACUAGUGGAGGACUGAACCCAUAGGCGUUGAAAAGCCCCGGGAUGACUUGUGGAUAGGGGUGAAAGGCCAAUCAAACUUCGUGAUAGCUGGUUCUCUCCGAAAUAUAUUUAGGUAUAGCGUUGUGUCGUAAUAUAAGGGGGUAGAGCACUGAAUGGGCUAGGGCAUACACCAAUGUACCAAACCCUAUCAAACUCCGAAUACCUUAUAUGUAAUCACAGCAGUCAGGCGGCGAGUGAUAAAAUCCGUCGUCAAGAGGGAAACAACCCAGACUACCAGCUAAGGUCCCUAAAUCUUACUUAAGUGGAAAACGAUGUGAAGUUACUUAAACAACCAGGAGGUUGGCUUAGAAGCAGCCAUCCUUUAAAGAAAGCGUAAUAGCUCACUGGUCUAGUGAUUUUGCGCGGAAAAUAUAACGGGGCUAAAGU